rnacentral:lncRNA from 1 species
GUGAUUGCUGCCUCUGGUGCUGUCAAGCACGAAGAUAUUGUUGAGCAAGUGAAAAAAUUGUUUACGAAGCUAUCGACAGAUCCAACAACAGCAUCUGAGUUAGUUGCUAAACAACCCGCAAUCUUCACAGGCUCAGAGGUAUCCUUAUUUUGUUCAGGUGUUUGAUGGUCUCCAAGGGUUAUGUUCUCAUUAUCGCGAUCUCGUGGAAAAAUCAGGUUAGGAUGCUUGAUGAUGACAUUCCUCUCGCGCAAUUUGCUGUUGCUUUUGAAGGGGCAUCUUGGUCGGAUCCAGAUUCCAUUGCCUUAAUGGUCAUGCAGUCGAUGUUGGGUUCCUGGAAUAAAAAUGCUGGUGGUGGAAAG